rnacentral:rRNA from 1 species
UGGCGGCAGUAGCGCGGUGGUCCCACCUGACCCCAUGCCGAACUCAGAAGUGAAACGCCGUAGCGCCGAUGGUAGUGUGGGGUCUCC